GGUUAUUUUGUUCAAGGAAAUGG
rnacentral:snRNA from 1 species